AAUGUACUGAGACAAACCAGAAUUUCUGAGAUUUCACUGGAAGUAGCAGAGGAAGGAACAUCUUUUACCAUAAGCCCCAGAGCAUACUUGAUCGAGAAAUGUGAAUGCCCACAGGGAUAUUCAGGAUUGUCAUGUGAGGCUUGUGCCCCAGGAUUUUACAGAGUACCUCCAACAACUCCCGGCAGAAGAA